rnacentral:lncRNA from 1 species
UGUCACGCCAUGAGAUUUUUGGCCCAAAUGCGGCGUUACGUCAUUCGAGAAAAACCCGAUUAAAGUUACGUCACAAAAAUGAGUGGAGUUCAACACGUUUUCGCGUCAGUUAAUGCAUUUUAUCAAUUAACACUAUAUUAUUGGGACAAUAAAUGAAUGAAGAGACAAACGUCAUUUAUCAAGCAUGUAUUAUAACAUUUCCGUGUUUUGUCAUUUCGUUUCAUUAUCAAAUAACUGACAAUUUGUCGCCCUUUGUAUCAACACGCCAUUUGUAAACAGGAAAGGUCGUGAGAAAGUAAGCUUUUAAACAGUAAUUUGACGAUAAAUUUAAAAGGGAUAAUGAUUGGCAUUGCGCGAUUUACAGAUUAACUAUUGAUUAGCUACUGAGGAACAUCUGGCAUAUUGCUAUGACCUUAAACACAAAAAAGGAAUUCUCAAGGCAUGCCUACAUACCACAUGUUGAAAUAGUUUGUGGAAUGGCUGAAAGAUGAAAGAAUUUCCAGAAAAAAUAAAAUUCUUUAUGAAUUUGUGAAUGGAAAUGAAACCCAAUGAACUAAUAUGUUUGCUUACCAUCCAGUUGAAAGUAUGCCAAUGGAAUAAAGUGCAACUGUCACUGAAGUGCACAAAAUAAGGCAUGUUGUAUGCAAAAGUUCACCAAGCUGAUUCAAACUACAAAUGUGAGGCAAGAAAAAAAAAGUGAAAUUAACUGAACUGUCACAGUUCAACUGUGAGAAAUGUUUGGUAAAAGUAUGUUUUGUUGCCAGAACAGCAGUGAAGUAGUUAAAAGUAAAACUGUCUUAAUUGUUUAAGUAAUACAGAAUAUUUUUUUAAAACUUACUCCAUGCAUAAUAUAUCUUGAGUGUUCUUUUUUAUUUUUAUGUAUUGUCCUGGGUCAGGGUUGUCGUGCGAGAAAAGUCACAGGCUAGGCGAACUUGUAUGGAGAUGAGGAAAAAACACAAAGAACACUAGUUGAUUUGAAUGAAAUAUGGGCAUUUAAUAAAAUGCCAUAAAAAGGCAAAAUUUAACAUUAAAACAGUACAAUCAUUAUAAAGCAAUACAAGGCUAAUAAAUUUCCGAAUUGUAAUAUCUGGGCGACCAAAAAACCGCC